GUCUACGGCCAUACCACCCUGAACCCGCCCGAUCUCGUCUGACCUCGGAAGCUAAGCAGGGUCGGGCCUGGUUAGUACUUGGAUUGACACCAUGAGGUCUCAAUGUGGCAGUGC
rnacentral:rRNA from 1 species